GUGGGGAAUCUUAGACAAUGGGGGAAACCCUGAUCUAGCCAUGCCGCGUGAGCGAUGAAGGCCUUAGGGUUGUAAAGCUCUUUCAGCUGGGAAGAUAAUGACGGUACCAGCAGAAGAAGCCCCGGCUAACUCCGUGCCAGCAGCAGCGGUAAUACGGAGGGGGCUAGCGUUGUUCGGAAUUACUGGGCGUAAAGUGCGCGUAGGCGGACCAGAAAGUUGGAGGUGAAAUCCCAGGGCUCAACCUUGGAACUGCCUUCAAAACUCCUGGUCUGGAGUUCGAGAGAGGUGAGUGGAAUUCCGAGUGUAGAGGUGAAAUUCGUAGAUAUUCGGAGGAACACCAGUGGCGAAGGCGGCUCACUGGCUCGAUACUGACGCUGAGGUGCGAAAGCGUGGGGAGCAAACAGGAUUAGAAACCCGUGUAGUCC
rnacentral:rRNA from 1 species